rnacentral:rRNA from 1 species
AGGAUGAACGCUGGCGGCGUGCCUAACACAUGCAAGUCGAACGUCCUGUCUCGCAAGAGGCAGGGAGUGGCGGACGGGUGAGUACCACGUGGGUUAUCUACCGUGAGGUGAGGAAUACCGGCGAGAAAUCGCCGACAAGACCGCAUAGGCUCGAUGCAAGUCGAGCAAAGCUCUUUCGAGAGAGGGAGCGCCACACGAGGAGCCUGCGCCCGAUUAGCUAGCUGGUGGAGUAACGGUUCACCAGGGCGACGAUCGGUAGCUGGUCUGAGAGGACGAUCAGCCACACUGGGAUUGAGAACGGCCCAGACUCCUACGGGGGGCAGCAGUGAGGAAUUUUCGUCAAUGGGGGCAACCUGAACGAGCAACGCCGCGUGCAGGAAGAAGGUUUUCGGAUCGUAAACUGCUUUUCUCGGGGAAGAGAACGGACGGUACCCGAGGAAUCAGCCCCGGCUAACUACGUGCCAGCAGCCGCGGUAA